rnacentral:rRNA from 1 species
UACGUAGGGAGCAAGCGUUGUCCGGAAUCAUUGGGCGUAAAGCGCGCGUAGGUGGCCCCAUAAGUCCGCUGUGAAAGUCAAAGGCUCAACCUUUGAAAGCCGGUGGAUACUGUGGGACUAGAGUACGGAAGAGGCGAGUGGAAUUCCUGGUGUAGCGGUGGAAUGCGCAGAUAUCAGGAGGAACACCGGUGGCGAAGGCGGGUCUCUGGGCCGAUACUGACACUGAGAAGCGAAAGCGUGGGGAGCGAACAGG